UUCCUGGUUAAUUGUAGUUAUUUCUUACUCCCAAGUAGGAAGAGUAGAAUUGUUGAUUUCACCUUCACUUUUCUUAUGUGGAAAUGAAAGGUCAACAUCUAUAAAAAGUAAGGAGAAUAUAUCAGAACCAAACUAUUUCUGUCUGUAGUCGUUUAUUAAGGAAAAGAUUUAUCACACACCUUCCCCAGAUGUAUGUAGUAGAGACUAAUUUUUGAACUAAUCUAAUUAAAGUCAAUUUUGGGGUAGUGGUACCUCUCUAAUUUUUUCUGAGACAUACACAUUAGCAACAGAGUGUUAUGUUGUCCUAGCAACGGGUAAUGACUUCAGAAAUAGAAUUGAAUUAUGUCACAAUGGCAAUUUGAGAACAGCUGCCACUGUGUGAGUUUAGUUAGGAGGGACAGAAAAGCAUGUUGGCUGUGAUGAAACCACGUGAGGGUUUGUGGAUCUCACCUUUAGGCACUUACAGAGAGUCCAUGCCCCUCUGUAAGUGUUUUGAUGCUUGGCUGAGAUUACUAAAAUUUGGAGGAGCAAGAGGAUGUAGCACUGCAAUAACUGAAGGACUUCAUUUCUUUCAGUGAAAAAGAAUGAGCUGGGAGUAGAUGUUCUGGAACAGAAAUGUACAACGGAAGUAAAUUAUAUGGAAACAGAAGAUGAAAUGAUAUGAUCUAGG
rnacentral:lncRNA from 1 species